rnacentral:lncRNA from 1 species
GCUGGAUUUAACGGAAAGAAGGGAUCCCAGGGUAACAUAGAGUUUGUAGAUGGGACGUUUUGGUCAACGUUUGACAAGUCAGUUGGCUUGCUGAGAGUUCACUAAUUAAAAGGAAGGUUUGUCUAAUACAUCCUUUAAUUUCAGCCCUUCUGAAGGGAGUCAGACAACUCGAUCAAUCAGCACGUGAAGACCCUGCAGAAGAAUGCCAGGCUGCGCAAGGCUCUCUUUGCUGUGGAUGAGGAACUGGGAGAGGUGAUGCCUUCUGCAUAGGAAAAAAUGACUUGGUCGAAGGCGCUGACGCCAGCUUUGUUCCCCAGAAAGAAGCGCUGCUGGAAGAUGUCUCAUCUCCUCCGACGUCGGAGAGCCCUUGGGAAGACAUUCCUC